UACGUAUGGUGCAAGCGCUAUCCGGAUUUACUGGGUGUAAAGGGAGCGCAGGCGGCACGGCAAGCCUGAUGUGAAAGCCCGCGGCCCAACCGCGGGACUGCAUUGGGAACUACCGGGCUGGAGUGCCGGAGAGGUAGGCGGAAUUCCUAGUGUAGCGGUGAAAUGCGUAGAUAUUAGGAGGAACACCAGUGGCGAAGGCGGCCUACUGGACGGUGACUGACGCUGAGGCUCGAAAGCGUGGGGAGCAAACAGG
rnacentral:rRNA from 1 species